AUGGAGCUCUUGAGGACUAUCACCUACCAGCCGGCUGCCAGCACCAAGAUGGGCGAGCAAGCACUGGGCAAGGCUUGCAGCGGGCACUCGAAGAAGGAGCAACAGCAGCAGUACCCGGAGGAGCCGCAGACCCUGCAGCCCGCACCUCAGGUGCAGCCAGUGGCUCCAGACCACCAUGACCACCACUCCCACUCUGGGACGGAGAUCUCACGGAUUAUCGUUGAUCCCACGACGGGAAAGCGCUACUGCCUGGGCAAAAUGCUGGGCAAGGGUGGCUUUGCAAAAUGUUAUAAGAUGACAGAUAUGACAAAUAACAAAGUCUGUGCUGCAAAAAUCAUUCCUCACAGCAGAGUAGCUAAACCUGAUCAAAGGGAAAUGAUUGACAAAGAAAUAGAGCUUCACCGAAUUCUCAACCAUAAGCAUGUGGUGCAGUUUUAUCACUACUUUGAGGAUGAAGAAAACAUUUACAUCCUCCUGGAGUACUGCAGCAGAAGGUCCAUGGCACAUAUCUUGAAAGCUAGAAAGGUGUUGACGGAGCCAGAAGUUCGAUACUACCUCAGGCAGAUUGUGUCUGGACUCAAGUACCUACAUGAACAAGAAAUCUUGCACCGAGAUCUCAAACCAGGAAACUUUUUACAUGACUUGAAAAAGACUUCCAUAACUAAACAGCCCAGCAAACAUAGGACAGAGGAGGAGCUGCAGCCACCCGCCACCACAGUGGACAGAUCUGGAACAACCGCAGUGUAAAACAAGCAGCAGAUCGGGGACACUAUCCGCAUGAUAGUAAGAGGGACUCUUGGCAGCUGCAGCAGUAGCAGUGAAUGAAUGCCUUGAGGACAGCACCAUGGGCAGUGUUGGGGACACAGUGGCCACGGUCCUUCGAGGAUGUCUGGAGAACAUGCCAGAAGCCGACAGCAUCCCCAAAGAGCAGCUGAGCACAUCAUUCCAAUGGGUCACCAAAUGGGUCGAUUACUCUAACAAGUACGGGUUUGGGUACCAGCUCUCGGACCACACCGUUGGCGUCCUUUUCAACAACAGUGCUCACAUGAGUCUCCUGCCUGACAAAAAACCCGUUCACUAUUACGCGGAGCUCAGCCAGUGCUCGGUUUUCCCAGCAACAGAUGCCCCUGAACAAUUCAUUAGCCAAGUGACGGUGCUGAAAUACUUCUCUCAUUACAUGGAGGAGAACCUCAUGGAUGGUGGAGAUCUCCCCAGUGUCACUAACAUCCGAAGACCUCGGCUCUACCACCUCCAGUGGCUCACGUCUGACAAGGUCUUAAUGCUGCUCUUCAAUGAUGGCACCUUUAAGGUACUUUUCUAUCAGGAUCACACAAAAAUCAUCAUCUGUAUCCAAAAUGAAGAAUACCUGCUCAACUACAUCAAUGAAGACAGUAUAUCUACGACGUUCAGGCUGACGACUCUGCUGAUGUCUGGCUGUUCAGCCGAAUUGAAAAAGCGUAUGGAAUAUGCCCUCAACAUGCUCUUACAGAGAUGUCAUUAA